rnacentral:rRNA from 1 species
CCCUUAGAUGUUCUGGGCGGCCCGCGCACUACAUUGGCACUCUCAAUAAGUUCCUAGAUCUAAAACUUUGGGGUAUUCUAUUAAGUGGUGUCGUGACUGGGAUUAACCCUUGCAAUUAUUGGUUACGAACGAGGAAUUCCUUGUAAUCGCGGUUUAUCAGCCCGCGUUGAAUGCGUCCCUGCCCUUUGUACACACCGCCCGUCGCUCCUACCGAUGAAUCGUCCGGUGAAGUUCAUGGAGUGGUGGUUGUUCCAGCCGCUGUCGAAGUGAAAUGGACCUCACGAUUUAGAGGAAGGAGAAGUCGUAACA